CUAUCGGAUGAGCCUAGGUCGGAUUAGCUAGUUGGUCGUUGUAAUGGCUCACCAAGGCGACGAUCCGUAGCUGGUCUGAGAGGAUGAUCAGCCACACUGGGACUGAGACACGGCCCAGACUCCUACGGGAGGCAGCAGUGGGGAAUAUUGGACAAUGGGCGAAAGCCUGAUCCAGCCAUGCCGCGUGUGUGAAGAAGGUCUUCGGAUUGUAAAGCACUUUAAGUUGGGAGGAAGGGCUGUUACCUAAUACGUGACAGUUUUGACGUUACCAACAGAAUAAGCACCGGCUAACUUCGUGCCAGCAGCCGCGGUAAUACGAAGGGUGCAAGCGUUAAUCGGAAUUACUGGGCGUAAAGCGCGCGUAGGCGGUUUGAUAAGUUGGAUGUGAAAGCCCCGGGCUCAACCUGGGAAUUGCAUCCAAAACUGUCUGACUAGAGUACGGUAGAGGGUGGUGGAAUUCCACGUGUAGCAGUGAAAUGCGUAGAGAUGCGGAGGAAUACCAAUGGCGAAGGCAGCCCCCUGGGUCAAUACUGACGCUCAUGCACGAAAGCG
rnacentral:rRNA from 1 species